CAAUCUAGGCUUCUUGCUGAUCAGUCAGCAAUGGAAACCUGUUGGUCAGUGAGGAAACCAAGGCACAGAGCGGGUGAGUAACUUGACCAAGUUACUUUUUAUGGGUUAAUAAGUGCAGGAGCCAGGAUACAAACCCCGACAGCCUUUUCCAGAAGCUGCGCUUUGAACUACUAGGCUACAGGGCUGUCUCCUAAAAGUCAAAGUAGAUCAGAUACUGUAGCUGAAUCCCGUUCCCCUUCUCCCUCCUGUAGUAGCUUACAACGCAUGACAGCUUCUUUGACUUGACGAAAGCCACCAUCAGGGCCCCUGCCAUCGACGUAGUACAUGAAUCGGAGCUCAGGUGGGUAGGCAGCUCUGCUGAGGCCCGACAGCAGGGGGAUGGUGCAGCCCUCGGCCCCUGGAGCCUCGGUCAGGGCCUGCAGCAUCUGGUACUUGCACCAGGGGUCCUGAAGGAAGCCUGGCGUGAUGAGCAGCACCCGGCAGUGACUACUGCUCAGUGCCUGGCACAGCUCGGACACGAUAGCGCCGCCUGGGGUUGCAUCCCGGAGUUGCAGGAAGCAGCGCAGGCUGGCAGUGCUGCCUUCCAAGUAGGAGACCAGGUCCUGGGCGGCCACCAGGUCUUCCUCACUGUGGCACACGCAGACGUCAUAGUCUUUGCUCCAGCGACUACUGCCGCUGUCACUCGCGUGUGUGGGUGGCAGGCUGGGAGACGUGACUGAGCUGAGGCUUGGGGGUAGUGGGCUGUCCUGUGAGGUAGGCUGUGAAGCAUCGCUGGAGGUGCUUUCUGGGGAGUUGGGCCUCUUCUUGGGCUUCUUCAGCAGGGUCUGCCUGAACCAGUCUGUGGGGGAGAAACACUGCUCAGGCCUGUGUGUUACCAGGUGCCCUCUCACUGCCCACACAGGGAGGAGCCCCACCUCCCAGGGAGGACAGACAGACUGCAGCCCACCUCCCUGCACUGGGAAACAUCUUAUUCUCAG
rnacentral:lncRNA from 1 species